GCCUCGGUAGCGUAGUGGUCAAGACGCUCGCCUGGUAAACAGGUGGGCGUGGGUUCGAUCCCAGCCGAGGUA
rnacentral:tRNA from 1 species